UUCAUUUCUUCCUCGGUUCGAUCAUCGACAGCACCAGCAAUCACAUUCCAUCUACAAUCUUGAUCAGCCAAAUAGCCUCGAAAUGCUGGAGUUCCGGCAGAUAAUGCCAGCAUCAAGGGGGUAAUAGGAGUCAACUGAUCGUAUAAAAGUCUAGCUUCAUCACAACUUUUAGCUUGGAAUGUAAUUUGUAGACAACAGCAUCCCAUACCGAAACCCAUACUGUCCAUGUAAAUAUGAUUGUCUAACGCUGCACCAUCUCGUGCAUUUGCAUCUUCAGGAAACAAAUUUCUAUCCCAAGGAACGGUAGGAUCGUGAAAUGGUUUAAUUGUAUUUUUAUCGAAGAAAAUCGGAACAUUCAUGGCCACUUUUCUCCCGCGCCUUUGACGAAUAUUAGCAGUCAAGGUCGGGAAACGAACAUGUGUGUUGAUAACAUCGUCCGGUAAGAAAAAAGAUCGCGAAAUUGCACCAUUGGCUUCGACUUCUGGAUCCGUAAAGCCUGGUGUUCCAAGACGAA